rnacentral:rRNA from 1 species
AACGCUAGCUACAGGCUUAACACAUGCAAGUCGAGGGGCAGCAUGAUUGAAGCUUGCUUCAAUUGAUGGCGACCGGCGCACGGGUGAGUAACACGUAUCCAACCUUCCGUACACUCAGGGAUAGCCUUUCGAAAGAAAGAUUAAUACCUGAUGGUAUCUUAAGCGCACAUGUAAUUAAGAUUAAAGAUUUAUCGGUGUACGAUGGGGAUGCGUUCCAUUAGGUAGUAGGCGGGGUAACGGCCCACCUAGCCUACGAUGGAUAGGGGUUCUGAGAGGAAGGUCCCCCACAUUGGAACUGAGACACGGUCCAAACUCCUACGGGAGGCAGCAGUGAGGAAUAUUGGUCAAUGGACGAGAGUCUGAACCAGCCAAGUAGCGUGAAGGAUGAAGGUCCUACGGAUUGUAAACUUCUUUUAUAAGGGAAUAAAACCUCCCACGUGUGGGAGCUUGUAUGUACCUUAUGAAUAAGCAUCGGCUAACUCCGUGCCAGCAGCCGCGGUAAUACGGAGGAUGCGAGUGUUAUCCGGAUUUAUUGGGUUUAAAGGGAGCGCAGACGGGUCGUUAAGUCAGCUGUGAAAGUUUGGGGCUCAACCUUAAAAUUGCAGUUGAUACUGGCGUCCUUGAGUGCGGUUGAGGUGUGCGGAAUUCGUGGUGUAGCGGUGAAAUGCUUAGAUAUCACGAAGAACUCCGAUUG